rnacentral:misc_RNA from 1 species
GAUGAAGAACGUAGCGAAAUGCGAUAAGUAAUGUGAAUUGCAGAAUUCAGUGAAUCAUCGAAUCUUUGAACGCACAUUGCGCCCGCUAGUAUUCUGGCGGGCAUGCCUGUUCGAGCGUCAUUUCAACCAUCAAGCCCCCGGCUUGUGUUGGGGACCUGCGGCUGCCGCAGGCCCUUAAAAGCAGUGGCGGGCUCGCUGUCACACCGAGCGUAGUAGCAUACAUCUCGCUCUGGGCGUGCUGCGGGUUCCGGCCGUUAAACCACCUUCAUAACCCAAGGUUGACCUCGGAUCAGGUAGGAAGACCCGCUGAACUUAAGCAUAUCAAUAAGCGGAGGA